AUGGGAGAAGACACUUUCAUCAGGAACGUGGAGCUGCUGGGCACUGUCAGAGGAUUCAGCCGGCCCCAGCUGAUGGUCCUGAAGGAGAAGGCGAUCCAGGUCUGGGCUUCGCCUUCCCGCUGGAGAGGACACCACGUGGUCUCCCUGGGCCGGAUCGCUCUGGCUCUUAAUGAGAGUGAGCUGGGACAGCUGGACCUCAGCUCCAUCGACACCGUGGCUUCUCUGAGCCAGCUGACAGGGUGGACCUUAGGGCAGGCUAAAUCCAUUCUUCAAGGGUUCCUCCAGGAUUCAGGCUAUGGUAUCCAAGAUCUGAAGAGCUAUCAUUUGGUAGGCCUUGGUGCCAUCCUGUGUGCUAUGAAUGUUACCGAAAUCCCACUUAUAAAGGUCUCAGAAUUCAGGUAACCAACCUGUGAGCAUGCAAAAUGACAAAUGGUUUACCCACCCUUCUAC
rnacentral:lncRNA from 1 species